UCCCAUAUAGUGUAGGGGUUAUCAUACUGCCCUCUCAUGACCAAUGUCAUCAGAAAUCGGCAGAGACCGGGGUUCGAUUCCCUGUGUGGGAG